GGAAUUGACGGGGCCCGCACAAGCGUGGAGCAUGUGGUUAAUUCGAUGGUACGCGAGGAACCUUACCUGGUCUUGACAUCCCGGAGACCCUUAGGAAACUAGGGGGUGCUUCCAUCUGGAAGAAUCUGGAGACAGGUGCUGCAUGGCUGUCGUCAGCUCGUGUCGUGAGAUGUUGGGUUAAGUCCCGCAACGAGCGCAACCCUUGCCUUUAGUUGCCAGCAGUUCGGCUGGGCACUCUAAAGGGACUGCCGGUGUUAAACCGGAGGAAGGUGGGGAUGACGUCAAGUCCUCAUGGCCUUUAUGACCAGGGCUACACACGUACUACAAUGGCCGAUACAAAGGGCAGCGACACUGCGAGGUGAAGCCAAUCCCGUAAAAUCGGUCUCAGUCCGGAUUGGAGUCUGCAACUCGACUCCAUGAAGUUGGAAUCGCUAGUAAUCGUGGAUCAGCAUGCCACGGUGAAUACGUUCCCGGGCCUU
rnacentral:rRNA from 1 species